UAAGACAGAGGUCCCGAGCGUUAGGCGGAAUCACUGGGCUUAAAGCGUGUGUAGGCGGAUUGGUAAGUACCUUGUGAAAUCCCACGGCUUAACCGUGGAACUGCUUGGUAUACUGCUUAUCUUGGGCCACUUAGGGGCUACCGGAACAAACGGUGGAGCGGUGAAAUGCGUAGAUAUCGUUUGGAACGCCAAUGGUGAAAACAGGUAGCUGGGAGUGUGCCGACGCUGAGACACGAAAGCCAGGGGAGCGAACGGGAUUAGAUACCCCGGUAGUCCUGGCUGUAAACGAUGUCGACUAGAUUGUGGCGGCUCUGACGCCGUCACGGUCGAAGCAAAAGUGCUAAGUCGACCGCCUGGGAAGUACGGUCGCAAGGCUA
rnacentral:rRNA from 1 species